UGGGGAAUAUUGGACAAUGGGCGCAAGCCUGAUCCAGCCAUGCCGCGUGAGUGAUGAAGGCCCUAGGGUUGUAAAGCUCUUUCACCGGUGAAGAUAAUGACGGUAACCGGGGAAGAAGCCCCGGCUAACUUCGUGCCAGCAGCCGCGGUAAUACGAAGGGGGCUAGCGUUGUUCGGAUUUACUGGGCGUAAAGCGCACGUAGGCGGACUUUUAAGUCAGGGGUGAAAUCCCGGGGCUCAACCCCAGAACUGCCUUUGAUACUGGAAGUCUUGAGUAUGGUAGAGGUGAGUGGAAUUCCGAGUGUAGAGGUGAAAUUCGUAGAUAUUCGGAGGAACACCAGUGGCGAAGGCGGCUCACUGGACCAUUACUGACGCUGAGGUGCGAAAGCGUGGGGAGCAAACAGG
rnacentral:rRNA from 1 species